AACGAACGCUGGCGGCAUGCCUAACACAUGCAAGUCGAACGAACCCUUCGGGGUUAGUGGCGCACGGGUGCGUAACGCGUGGGAAUCUGCCCUUUGCUUCGGAAUAACAGUUAGAAAUGACUGCUAAUACCGGAUGAUGUCCUCGGACCAAAGAUUUAUCGGCAAGGGAUGAGCCCGCGUAGGAUUAGGUAGUUGGUGGGGUAAAGGCCUACCAAGCCGACGAUCCUUAGCUGGUCUGAGAGGAUGAUCAGCCACACUGGGACUGAGACACGGCCCAGACUCCUACGGGAGGCAGCAGUGGGGAAUAUUGGACAAUGGGCGAAAGCCUGAUCCAGCAAUGCCGCGUGAGUGAUGAAGGCCCUCGGGUCGUAAAGCUCUUUUACCAGGGAUGAUAAUGACAGUACCUGGAGAAUAAGCUCCGGCUAACUCCGUGCCAGCAGCCGCAGUAACAC
rnacentral:rRNA from 1 species